GCACCCGAAUUUUCUAUCCCUGGGGAAAAGAUAACUGUAACCAAAGAUAUUGUUAAUGGAGACAAAGCAACUUUGUCGUGUCUACGUUGAUACAUAUGGAUAUGGUACCUCGCUCAUUUUGGUUUGGUUAAAGGAUAUAACCAAGUCAAUCUCUACAUCUGUAAAGCUAAUCCACAAUGGCUUGCUGCUCAAA